AGAGUUUGAUCCUGGCUCAGGAUGAACGCUGACAGAAUGCUUAACACAUGCAAGUCAACUUGAAUUUGGGUUUUUAACUUAGAUUUGGGUGGCGGACGGGUGAGUAACGCGUAAAGAACUUGCCUCACAGCUAGGGACAACAUUUAGAAAUGAAUGCUAAUACCUGAUAUUAUGGUUAUAGGGCAUCCUAUAAUUAUGAAAGCUAAAUGCACUGUGAGAGAGCUUUGCGUCCCAUUAGCUAGUUGGAGAGGUAACAGCUCACCAAGGCGAUGAUGGGUAGCCGGCCUGAGAGGGUGAACGGCCACAAGGGGACUGAGACACGGCCCUUACUCCUACGGGAGGCAGCAGUGGGGAAUAUUGGACAAUGGACCGAGAGUCUGAUCCAGCAAUUCUGUGUGCACGAUGAAGUUUUUCGGAAUGUAAAGUGCUUUCAGUUGGGAAGAAAAAAAUGACGGUACCAACAGAAGAAGUGACGGCUAAAUACGUGCCAGCAGCCGCGGUAAUACGUAUGUCACGAGCGUUAUCCGGAUUUAUUGGGCGUAAAGCGCGUCUAGGUGGUUAUGUAAGUCUGAUGUGAAAAUGCAGGGCUCAACUCUGUAUUGCGUUGGAAACUGUAUAACUAGAGUACUGGAGAGGUAAGUGGAACUACAAGUGUAGAGGUGAAAUUCGUAGAUAUUUGUAGGAAUGCCGAUGGGGAAGCCAGCUUACUGGACAGAUACUGACGCUAAAGCGCGAAAGCGUGGGUAGCAAACAGGAUUAGAUACCCUGGUAGUCCACGCUGUAAACGAUGAUUACUAGGUGUUGGGGGUCGAACCUCAGCGCCCAAGCAAACGCGAUAAGUAAUCCGCCUGGGGAGUACGUACGCAAGUAUGAAACUCAAAGGAAUUGACGGGGACCCGCACAAGCGGUGGAGCAUGU
rnacentral:rRNA from 1 species